UCCUCCUCGGCCGUGUUCUUCCUCGCCUCCCACCCACGCCCUUGGUUUCAUGUCCACGAUUCAGACACCGUGGUGGCAACUUGCCCGGCGGCGGCUCCUCACCAUCCGCCCCCACUCUCGCCCUCCGCCUUCCCCAACAGAAGACACCACGCGAUGGAGAUAGCGGUGGCUGCACUCACGCUCCUGUUCCUCAGCCAUCUGAGUGGCCUUCUUGGAUUGAUUGUCUGGUGGCGGCGUGGUGUUAUUGGUUUGCUCAGCAUUCGCCAUCAUUUCAUCAAUUCGCAACAGUGGCCAUCGGUUCGGCCCUUCUGCUCCUGCGAAUCUGUGGAUCCAGCCCACGCGCAUGAUCUAGCCGAGGCGGGGGCCGCUCGAUCCAAUUCGACGCGGGGGCAAUCCAUCGCAGCAAGGGGGAAAUGGAGGGAUGCGGGUGAUGCAAGCCGACGCUUCAUCUGAUCGAAACUGCUCUGCUCAUAUUUGAAGGCCGCAAUCAUUAUACGGUUACUCUGCACAAAUUCAUGGCAGGGGAUGUCCUAUCCUUUCCGCUGCCUCAUGGUACAAUGUGGGGCUCGCCAAUCAAUGCGGAGAGGAUCUCACCGGCCGAUGCAAGGAAGUUCAUCCGCCGUUUUUCAAGCGAGGAGUAAAGUGCUCGCUUGUUUUGUAUAUAUCAAUUAAUGGCAGUCGAGGGAGCGAUGGUGACGGAUGGUGGAGGUUAUGGUAUAUUGUUUGGGUACUAUUCAAGGCUGGUUCUGGAAUUUUAUUGGAAGAGAUAUUGAUGGGUUGACUAUUUGCAAUGGCAAUCAGGUCUUUUACUAUUAGGCCAACAAGAAGCGCAGGCUGCACGCCGCGAGCACUGAGCGCAGUCGAUGAGCUCGCCGCCUGUUAAAACUCCGUUGCUGAACAUGUAUGGUGACCUUAAUAUAUAUCUCACAAACUACAUCAUGAUUGGUCUCCGCCCUUGGAAGCCCUUGGGAAGUCAUCACACGAGGCAUCUCAUCUAUCCUUAGCAUCAGCAUAGCAAGGACGAUGAAGUGGGUUUGAGCCAAGACCUCUAAUGAUGUUUCUACUUCUCUUUCUUCAAGUGCCUUCAUCUGGGUUUCUUCUCACCAGACAUGGAGGCGGGGCCGCUGGGGACACGUUAGUGCAGCUAGCUAGAUUCCACUGUAAUGAAGAUGGAGAAGACGAAGAGGGGGAGUAUAGCUUGAAUGUGUUGUAUCCAUCCUGACGACGUCGACGAUGUGCGCGUGCCGUAUGGCCGACCUGGCGAGCCUCCUGCCCUCGAGGAAAAAUUCCGCAUGUCAUGGAAGGAGCCGUACACGUACUGACGUACGUCUAUAGUGAUUCCGGCGGCGGUCUGAGUUCGUCUGACCAUCCAGGUUUCUCUGCAUGCACGCCGGCCGAGACCUACUCUUCUUUUCGCCGGACAGACGACGGCGCCUCGGACGCGAGCGGCUUCGCCGAGUGGCGCGAUCGGAACUAAUCCUGCACGAUGGGAGACGACUGCGGCGUCGUAGGGGCCGGAGGAGAAGGCAUCGCACGCAUGACCGAGAAGCUUGAAGACUUCCUCAACAGCGGCGGAAAGGUUCUUGUCCAAUUGAAUGAAGAGAUCAUUUUUUUACCGCGUCGGCCGUGGAAUACCAUGUCGAGAAGAUGUGCCAGUAGCGCAAACGGUCCGGGCUCCUGCCCACGGCAGCGUGGACGUCGGUGGCGAACAUGUUCGCUGCACCGGUGAGCAACGUGAAGAGCCGCUGGGCCACGCCUUUGUUCGUAUUAAGGCGUCGUAUUUGCAGGACGAAUAUCCAAGAUGGUUUUGCUUUAAUUUUUUUUCGUUUUCUACCUUGAUUAGCGGGAGCACAAUAAUUACCUGGUGCAUGCGACCCUGUUCUACUGCGUGUUUAUAGGAUACACGAACGGGAUGCGGGGCGGGGAACUUUCUCGACAGAGUUUUCGUCCGCCUAGACAAAUGGCUAAACGCACUUGUGACGUGGGUUAAUAUAAUUUUAAUGGUUAGAUUAAAUUAAGUGUCGCUGAUCAUGCGGCUGUAAUUGGUUCGUGUUGUUGUGUGUACGUAAGGCUGUGUGUACUUAGCAAUGAAUAUAUUUGCUUGUUUAAUAGUAGUAUAGAUCCAUCUUUUAUGUGUCCACAUGUUUACAUAAUUCCUAUCAUUAUAUCGAAGAAAUGGAUGAACGCGCGCGUCAUCCAUGAUCUAGUUAAUAAACUAUCUUGGUAUUAGAGUCUUCGCUCUUGGGCUUUUUAAACCCAGACGAAGGUAGUACUACAUAGAUUAGAUCUGCAAAUGAGUUUUUAUCUUAAAUUUAGUCCUUGCACGUGAAAAACAUUCAAUUACAAUCUAUCAUGUGUUAAGUCAUGUGUUAAGUCAAAUUUCGGAUAUACGAGUGUCUACUAUCGUAGAAACAAUGCACAUCAUGUGUUAAGUCAAAUUUCGGACACACGGGUGUCUACUGUGCGUACCGUCUACUGUCGUAAAAACAAUGCACGUCAUGUGUUAAGUCAAAUUUCAGAAACACAGGUGUCUACUGUCGUAAGCAUACCAGACGUAGACAUUUUUCUAAACAUAAACAUACGAUUACAAUGUACUAUUUCCGUUCAUUCUUAUCACUAUUAUAACACCUUUUGAAUAUUUUAUUAUAGACUAGAUACAGACAUAAAUGAGUAAACUAAUACACUAAAACAUGUCUAUAUACACGUCAUUUAAGAAAACUAGAAUAUCUUAUAACAAUGAAUGGAGGGAGUAUUUGUGAAGAUAAUAGGAAAGGUAAAACAUGAAUCUCAGCAUGUUUCACAACACGAUGUUUACACAAGCGUUACACAGAAGUGUUCUUGGUAAAGAGAACCAAUAACAUGAUCUUUACAGAUCAAGAUUAAGUCGAAACAUAGAUCUAGUGGCACCGUAAU